UACGUAGGGGGCAAGCGUUAUCCGGAAUUAUUGGGCGUAAAGCGUGCGUAGGCGGCUUUUUAAGCGUGGGGUUUAAGGCUAUGGCUCAACCAUAGUAUGCCCUGCGAACUGGAAGGCUUGAGUACAGGAGAGGAAAGCGGAAUUCCUAGUGUAGCGGUGAAAUGCGUAGAUAUUAGGAGGAACACCAGUGGCGAAGGCGGCUUUCUGGACUGUAACUGACACUGAGGCAUGAAAGCGUGGGUAGCAAACAGG
rnacentral:rRNA from 1 species